GCCUACGGGGGGCAGCAGUCGAGAAUCAUUCACAAUGGGGGAAACCCUGAUGGUGCGACGCCGCGUGGGGGAAUGAAGGUCUUCGGAUUGUAAACCCCUGUCAUGUGGGAGCAAGACCCGCCUCGUGCAGGCGGAGCGAGAGUACCCGAAGAAAAAGCAUCGGCUAACUCCGUGCCAGCAGCCGCGGUAAUACGGAGGAUGCGAGCGUUAUCCGGAUUUAUUGGGUUUAAAGGGUGCGCAGGCGGACCAUCAAGUCAGCGGUAAAAUCGUGGGGCCCAACCCCAUCCCGCCGUUGAAACUGGCGG
rnacentral:rRNA from 1 species